UACGGGGGGGGCAAGCGUUGUUCGGAAUUACUGGGCGUAAAGGGCUCGUAGGCGGCCAACUAAGUCGGAUGUGAAAUCCCCAGGCUUAACCUGGGAACUGCAUCCGAUACUGGAUGGCUUGAAUCCGGGAGAGGGAUGCAGAAUUCCAGGUGUAGCGGUGAAAUGCUUAGAUAUUGUCAAGAACACCUAUUGCGAAGGCAGCUUACUAAACUGUAACUGACGCUGAGGCACGAAAGCGUGGGGAUCAAACAGG
rnacentral:rRNA from 1 species